AGCCCGAUGUGGGACUCGACCCUGGGUCUCCAGGAUCACGCCUGGGCCAAAGGCGGUGCUGAACCGCUGAGCCACCCAGGGAUCCCCUAUAUACAUAUAUUUUUAAACCUCCCCAUUCCCUCCUUCACCCCUCGGCCUUGGCACCCACCUGGAAUUAGGUAUAUUUCCGCCUAUUUCACAAUCGUGAAAACCAAGAGUGAAGCUUUGGCAGAAACAGCGUCAGCAGCAUCCCCCUCCUCCAACGCCCCAUCCUUCCACCUGUACCACCCACUGCACCCCCAUCCCAGCCUUCCUCGUGGGAGCAGCCUGUAAGGGAGGAGCCCUUCCGUUCCUGCGCCUAGGGAGAAACGGGGGUGCAAAGCCCCUAGGGAGGAGGAGAAUCACAAAGGUUCUAGCAGGGCGAUAGCUGACGGGGAUCUAGAGAUGACACGUCUAGCAGGGAGCCCCCCAUCCAAAUCGGGGAGCCAGUGGAGCAGAAAGCAGCCACCGGGAAGGUAAAGCGGCGGGCAGCUCGGCACACACAGCUGCUCACGGAGGUGUCUGCAUUGCACAGGUAAAGAAGCUGAGCCACAGAGAAGGGUCCUGACAGGUCCAAGGCCACAGAGCCAAGAGAUUGGAAGGCUGGGGGUUGAGCCCAGGGCCCUCUAUUCCGCCUGACUUGGGGUUUGUAGCUACGCUUCAGGAAGUCUAUGAACCCCUUCACAUGGAGAAUUUCACUUGGGGUAUAAGCCUUUUCUGGAGAGGGAGUCUGCAGCCUGGUGAGUGAGAACCAGGACUCUGGAGUCACCCAGCACUGAGCUUGGAUCCUGACUUUAUAACUCGCAUGGUCACAGGCAAUUGCCUCUAUGAAGUUUUCAGCCUCCCAAGGCUGCUGAGAGAGUAAAAGCAUCAGAAGCCCUUCGUGUGGUGCCUGGCACACAGCAGGUGGCCAGUAAACCCAGAGGCUGUUAUUGAAGGAGUCAACAUGACCGUGCUGGCAAAAGAAACUGUAUCUUGGAGGUGCAUCUUCUGUAAAAUGAAACAACACAUGUUUACAAAUCCUUACGGCCGGUACACUCCCACAUUUUGAAAAAAAUCCAUAUAGAAAAGACUGGAAAGAAAUAUAGGAUUGCAAAAUGGAAAUAGCGGUCAUCUCUGAGCAUAAGGAUAAGUAGUAUAAUUUUCUGCCUUGUGCUUUUCUGUACUUUUCUGUAUUUUCUAGAUUUUCUCUACAAAUGUGUAUUAACUUGGUAAUGAUAUGAAUAAACUUUUUUUUUUUUAUG